AUAGGCAGCCUAAGUCUUGACGUCACAGAGACGGGCGGAGCUUAUACCGACUCCAAACAAUUCCGUUGAUAAUGGUAAAUGCCCAUAAGCAAUUUUUAUUUACUGUUUCCGUGGUUUAUGUGAUAAAAUAAAACUUUUCAGUUGAAUAUAUUGUUAAAGGAAGUACUAUUUAACAGGUUUUCAUUAGUUUUUCCCCAGGUUUUUAAGAUCUAGGACUGCUUCAGAAUGGAUAUAUGCUUUGUUCCAGACUGUAAACAGUUCAAAGCAUUAAUGUAAGUUUUUUCGGUUCCCCAAAAACUAGACCGAGAGGUAUAGAUGGAUUUCUCUCAUAAGGAAGCGAACUGUAAAAAACCUCGUUACCGAGCUACUACCAGGACCUUCAACCGAACCACUAACAGGUCCUUCAAGUGAGCCACUACCAGGACCUUCAACCAAACUACUGCCUAGGGCUUUGGUGAAUAAAGCUCUUCUGCAGAUUUCACUAGCCCAACCUUCGGUUUAGGUAGUGCCUUCCAUGCACAUGCUUUAUCUGUUACAGUUAUAUUGUAAUGCCCAAAAAGUGCCAACGCCGUAAUAUGAUAGCAUUUUAUACCCCUGGGACAAGUGCAGGUGGCUUCUUUAAUGUCACUUCCCCUUUGAUUACCUGCAAAUCAGAGUCAAAGUCCAUUUUCUCCACAUGACUGGACUCUAACUCGUUUUCGCCCCUUUUUAUAAUUUUGUUGUGUCAUCUAUACAGGCACGGAUGCUGGGAAGUUUUAGGACAUGUUUAAAAGCCAUUAUUUUUUUAACAACAGAAGGAUCUGCAAAAAAACAAACAAAAAGGUACUGCAAAAAUAAAAUAGACAUAACCUCAACAAGUUUUAAACCAGAAUUAAUAUGUUGAAUUAACUCACCUGAGGAAAAACUAAUAAAAGCCUCUUAAAUAGUACGUUCCUUCAACAAUAUACUCAACUGAAAAGUCUUAUUUCAUCACAUAAACCACGAAAACACCUAAUGAAAAAUUGCUUAUGGGCAUUUACCAUUAUCAACUAAAUAUUUUGGAGUCAGUAUAAGCUCCGCCCGUCUCUGUGACGUCAGACUUAGGCUGUCUAUUGAAACUUGCAUAUGAAAAUUAUUUUAAAAAAGAAUCAAAACCGAGAGGUUUCAAUUAUGUAGAGGACUUUAUUAAAAGGAUUUUUUGAAACAAAUAAAAACAUCAAUCUAAGAUAUACCAUAAUGUUUACUACAAAAGACUGUGUUAUUCCCAGUUAAUUUUUCCACCCUAUCUAUUUUGAAAAGAAUAUUUUCCAUAAGGAAACGUGUUUAAGUUCAAUAUAUUUCUCUAACCGAUGUACCUAAGGUUACAAAACCAGAGAGUGUCCAAUUAAAUAUUUUUAGACAUUUAUUAAUGAAAAAAAAACAGAAAUAUUAGUGGCUUGUUAACAUUGUUAAUUUUAGUCAAGUGAUUUUGAAUCUUUGACCAACUAUAGCGAAGUGUUUUAUAUAAACAAUGAUAGAGUAAGAUACUGGCUAUGUUUCUCUUUUAGAAAAGUAGUAUUUACAAUAUUUUCAUUACUUAUAAAGACAAUAAACCAAAAUAAAAUCAAACCGAAUGUGUGAAAUUUUUUACUAAAGUUUCUAAUAAUUUUUGUUAAGUCUUGAAUAUUUAUUUAGCAAGCGCAUCACAUUUUUUUAUAGUAGCCUCAAUUAGCGAGGUCUAUAAAAUUUAAGUAAUUGACGAAAAAAAUUGUAGUCACUUGUAGACAAAAUCCCAUUAAAAAUUAACAGCAAUAUAGAUUUGGAAGAUCUCCUUGCACUUGUUGGUAGAGGAAUAGGGUACUUGCAUGGUUUGAGAAAAAAAUAGUUUUGGAUAAUUUAUGUACUUUAUAAUAUUAUAAUGUUGUUCUUUAAUCUCAGAUCAAUAUUUAUAAAAAAACACUAAUGAAAAUUAAAAAAAGGUAGUUCAUACAUUUUAGUAAGGUCGCCAUAUUGCGUGACAUUAUAGGUAUAAAAUAAAGACUGAACAUAUGAUACAAAAUAAAUACGAUAGUUAUUUUGUCGGUUAUUCCAAAAUAAGCGUUAUUAUUAAACUUUGAGUAAUCUGAAAAAUGGUAUGUCGUUUUGACGAUUCUGCGAGAUGUAAAUAUUUUUGUUGCCACGAUCAUUUUAUUAUAACUAAGAUUCAAAUUUAACUUAUAAUAUUUCAUUGUAAUUUAGUUUACUAUGUUUUUAAUUUUUAACGUGAUUAUGUACUAACACUGGUCGACAAAAAAAAAUUUUUGUAGUAACACUAGAAUGACUAGUAUAUUGUGAUAAAAUGGACCUAUACAAAUACGAAAAUAUGAAACAAAUAAUUGUAACACGACCUUGAUACUGAAUUUCCAUUGUUCUUGAUGGAACCUUUCACUCUGCUCAUCAUUGACAGCUCCCAAAUUUUCGGGAAAAAAUGUCAAAUGGAAAUGAAGCAGUUUGUAGGAGUCUAGAAGUUCAUCAAUAAACUGUUGGUAGUUUGGAUCCAUAUUGUUGCCCAAAAAUCCCCUCACUACACUAACAAAUGCCUUCCAUGUUCUAAGCUACCGUCUGAUGAGCUUUUUUGCAAAAUUGUCAUCGUCCAGCAAUUUUCCUAUAUGUAGCCCAAUAAAAAUACAUUCCUUUUAUUUGGCAUCAUUUAACUGGGGAAAGACUUCUCUAAGGUAUUUGAAUCCAUCACCCUCUUUAUCCAUAGCCUUUACAAAGUUUUUCAUCAAUCCAAUUUUAAUGUGAAGGGAGGGCAGAAGGUCAUUUUUGGGAUCUACAAGAGGUAUAAACACUCACAUAGUGUUGAUCUACUGCCCUACCUUGUAAACCCUUCCUGAAGUCCCAUUAAAAUUCCAAUCACCUUCAGGUCCCCACAUAUCUGCCACUUAUACUUGUUGUAGUUAAUUUUGUCUAAAAGCAAGGGAAUUUUUUUACCAAAUAAUAAAACUAUAUAGCAAUCCUAAAAUAUGUAAUAAUUUGUAUCAAAAAUCAAUACCAACAUUAAACCCGUAUGUAAUAUGCUUCUAAUCAAAUUUUAUAGUAUUAGAGUAUAAGUGGUUUAUAGCGUAGAAAGCGCUUUCCAGUAAAUAUGCUUUCAAAUUCUUGCGAAAUGCUGGAAAAGAUUUUAUAAAUUUAAUUUUAAUUGGCAAAUGAUUGUACAUUUUUUUUUUGGAUUGCACAGUAUUGAGUAGAGUAGGUAGAUAAAGGACGUGGUUUUUGAGAUUUUUUUACAUUUUUCGUCCUAUAUCUAUUCACACUCUGAAAGUGUUAUGGUGAUAUUAUUCUUCAUAUUCGCUAAUAAGUUUUUCAAAUAUCUUUUUAACUUUGCUUUUUUUAUUUUAGUGCUCACGAAAAAUCCAGUUGUCUGUAUUAAUUUCAUUUUGUUUCAGCAAAACUUGUAAAUAAUUUUCAUGUGAAUUCAUAUUUUCUAUUUAUUAGGGAACAGAAUAGAAGAGAUUUCUCAAAACACUUAUAUGCUUUUAUAAAAUGUUUAGAAAGUUGAAUAAAGAGUGUUUUUGUUUUGGUAUUAAA